rnacentral:sRNA from 1 species
GCCGGGCGAGGUGGCGGGCGCCUGUAGUCCCAGCUACUUGGGAGGCUGAGGCAGGGGAAUCGCUUGAACCCGGGAGGCGGAGCUUGCAGUGAGCCGAGAUCCGGCCACUGCACUCCAGCCUGGGCGACAGAGCUAGACUCUGUCUCAA